UACGUAGGGUGCGAGCGUUAAUCGGAAUUACUGGGCGUAAAGCGUGCGCAGGCGGUCUGUUAAGACCGAUGUGAAAUCCCCGGGCUUAACCUGGGAACUGCAUUGGUGACUGGCAGGCUUUGAGUGUGGCAGAGGGAGGUAGAAUUCCACGUGUAGCAGUGAAAUGCGUAGAGAUCGGAAAGAACACCAACGGCGAAAGCACUCUGCUGGGCCGACACUGACACUGAGAGACGAAAGCUAGGGGAGCGAAUGGG
rnacentral:rRNA from 1 species